GGUGCGUUGAUUCUGGUUUGCGGUAUGCACUUUGCCGUGAUUUCCGAACCUCCAUCAUGCAGCAGCUCUUUCACGUCAUACACAUCGGCUUCAAAAAGGAGUCGUCCUUUACGAAGGUUCCCGCCGCGGAAAAAACAGCUUAGGUCGUUAUGCUCGCCGAAACCGGUCGCCAGUAACGUGGGCACGCCGCUCGACAUGGCUCGCAAAGCUCCCGCGCCCGAAUUCGCGCGCGAAUUCGCGCGCCCACAUCUCCCACCAGAGUUUAUCUCGUAGCCGCUCAGUGGCACUACCAGUCCGCCGACGGUAUCACCGUCUGCACGGAGCCUUUUUUUGUUCGGAACAAUCUCAACAACGAGGUGCUCGAUGUCCGGGUCCGGAAGGGUAUUGCUUGCCUAUGGCUACAAGAACCGUCACGCGUGGCCUGUGACAGCAAGCUUUUGUGGGCAGCCAGUGCUCUCCUACGAAGGCUGGCCUGCUCUGGCAGCGGCGGCAAUCCUCUUCAACAUUUAUCCAUGAUCACCUUUGCUGCUUUUUGUCACUCUUGUUAAUUAGAGUUUUUGCAUCUUUUGUAAUUUAUUAGGUAAUAAAGUAUGACUAUAUGA